AGUGAACGCUGGCGGUAGGCCUAACACAUGCAAGUCGAACGGCAGCACAGUAAGAGCUUGCUCUUACGGGUGGCGAGUGGCGGACGGGUGAGGAAUACAUCGGAAUCUACUUUUUCGUGGGGGAUAACGUAGGGAAACUUACGCUAAUACCGCAUACGACCUACGGGUGAAAGCAGGGGAUCUUCGGACCUUGCGCGAUUGAAUGAGCCGAUGUCGGAUUAGCUAGUUGGCGGGGUAAAGGCCCACCAAGGCGACGAUCCGUAGCUGGUCUGAGAGGAUGAUCAGCCACACUGGAACUGAGACACGGUCCAGACUCCUACGGGAGGCAGCAGUGGGGAAUAUUGGACAAUGGGCGCAAGCCUGAUUCAGCCAUACCGCGUGGGUGAAGAGGGCCUUCGGGUUGUAAAGCCCUUUUGUUGGGAAAGAAAAGCAGCAGGUUAAUACCCCGCUGUUCUGACGGUACCCAAAGAAUAAGCACCGGCUAACUUCGUG
rnacentral:rRNA from 1 species